AGGUGGCAAGCGUUAUCCGGAUUUAUUGGGCGUAAAGAGAACGCAGGCGGAUAUUUAAGUCUGAUGUGAAAGCCCUCGGCUUAACCGGAGAAGUGCAUUGGAAACUGUGAGACUUGAGUGCAGAAGAGGAGAGUGGAACUCCAUGUGUAGCGGUGAAAUGCGUAGAUAUAUGGAAGAACACCAGUGGCGAAGGCGGCUCUCUGGUCUGUAACUGACGCUGAGGUUCGAAAGCGUGGGUAGCAA
rnacentral:rRNA from 1 species